GGACGAAAGUCUGAUGGAGCAACGCCGCGUGAGUGAUGAAGGGUUUCGGCUCGUAAAACUCUGUUGUUGGAGAAGAACAGGUGAUAGAGUAACUGUUAUCAUCUUGACGGUAUCCAACCAGAAAGCCACGGCUAACUACGUGCCAGCAGCCGCGGUAAUACGUAGGUGGCAAGCGUUGUCCGGAUUUAUUGGGCGUAAAGCGAGCGCAGGCGGUUUUUUAGGUCUGAUGUGAAAGCCUUCGGCUUAACCGGAGAAGGGCAUCGGAAACCGGGAGACUUGAGUGCAGAAGAGGACAGUGGAACUCCAUGUGUAGCGGUGAAAUGCGUAGAUAUAUGGAAGAACACCAGUGGCGAAGGCGGCUGUCUGGUCUGUAACUGACGCUGAGGCUCGAAAGCAUGGGUAGCGAACAGGAUUAGAUACCCUGGUAGUCCAUGCCGUAAACGAUGAGUGCUAAGUGUUGGAGGGUUUCCGCCCUUCAGUGCUGCAGCUAACGCAUUAAGCACUCCGCCUGGGGAGUACGACCGCAAGGUUGAAACUCAAAGGAAUUGACGGGGGCCCGCACAAGCGGUGGAGCAUGUGGUUUAAUUCGAUGCUACGCGAAGAACCUUACCUGGUCU
rnacentral:rRNA from 1 species